AAAUAGCCCUGAUUGAAAUGGAAAUCCUUUUUUAUUUUCCCUUUAAAAAUAAAAAAGAUUGAAAUGGAAAGCAGGAAUAAGC
rnacentral:sRNA from 1 species